rnacentral:rRNA from 1 species
GACGGACGCUGGCGGCGCGCCUAACACAUGCAAGUCGAACGAGCGAGAGAGAGCUUGCUUUCUCGAGCGAGUGGCGAACGGGUGAGUAACGCGUGAGGAACCUGCCUCAAAGAGGGGGACAACAGUUGGAAACGACUGCUAAUACCGCAUAAGCCCACGACCCGGCAUCGGGUAGAGGGAAAAGGAGCAAUCCGCUUUGAGAUGGCCUCGCGUCCGAUUAGCUAGUUGGUGAGGUAACGGCCCACCAAGGCGACGAUCGGUAGCCGGACUGAGAGGUUGAACGGCCACACUGGGACUGAGACACGGCCCAGACUCCUACGGGAGGCAGCAGUGGGGAAUAUUGCACAAUGGGGGAAACCCUGAUGCAGCGACGCCGCGUGGAGGAAGAAGGUCUUCGGAUUGUAAACUCCUGUUGUUGAGGAAGAUAAUGACGGUACUCAACAAGGAAGUGACGGCUAACUACGUG